CACGUAGGGGCCAAGCGUUGUCCGGAUUAUUGGGCGUAAAGAGCGUGUAGGCGGCCAGGUAGGUCUGCUGUGAAAACUCGAGGCUUAACCUCGAGCUGUCGGCGGAAACCAUCUGGCUAGAGUCCGGAAGAGGAGAAUGGAAUUCCCGGUGUAGCGGUGAAAUGCGCAGAUAUCGGGAAGAACACCCGUGGCGAAGGCGGUUCUCUGGGACGGUACUGACGCUGAGACGCGAAAGCGUGGGGAGCGAACAGG
rnacentral:rRNA from 1 species